GUGUCAGCAGCCGCGGUAAUACAGAGGGUGCGAGCGUUGUCCGGAAUCACUGGGCGUAAAGGGCGCGUAGGCGGCUUGGUAAGUAGGGGGUGAAAUGCUGCGGCUCAACCGCAGCGCUGCCUCCUAAACUGCCGAGCUCGAGCACAGUAGAGGCAGGUGGAAUUCCCGGUGUAGCGGUGGAAUGCGUAGAGAUCGGGAAGAACAUCGGUGGCGAAGGCGGCCUGCUGGGCUGUUGCUGACGCUGAGGCGCGACAGCGUGGGGAGCAAACAGGAUUAGAUACCCUGGUAGUCCACGCCGUAAACGAUGGGCACUAGGCGUCGGGGGGAGCGACCCCCUCGGUGCCGUCGCUAACGCAGUAAGUGCCCCGCCUGGGGAGUACGGCCGCAAGGCUGAA
rnacentral:rRNA from 1 species